CACCAGAUAAGACAGCUGAAUGAUAGUCGGGCUGAAGACUCUACUUGACUAGCUGAGAGGAGGUGCAUGGCCGUCGUCAGUUCGUACUGUGAAGCAUCCUGUUAAGUCAGGCAACGAGCGAGACCCCACGCCAACAGUUGCCAGCUCGUCCUCCGGGAUGGAGGGGACACUGUUGGGACCGCCUCUGCUAAAGAGGAGGAAGGAAUGGGCAACGGUAGGUCAGCAUGCCCCGAAUUAUCUGGGCUACACGCGGGCUACAAUGGGUGGGACAAUGGGUAUCGACACCGAAAGGUGAAGGCAAUCUCCUAAACCCAUCCUUAGUUCGGAUUGUGGGCUGCAACUCGCCCACAUGAAGCUGGAAUCUGUAGUAAUCGUGUUUCAAAAUAGCACGGUGAAUAUGUCCCUGCUCCUU
rnacentral:rRNA from 1 species